GUGUCAGCCGCCGCGGUAAUACGGAGGGUGCGAGCGUUAAUCGGAAUUACUGGGCGUAAAGCGCGCGUAGGCGGCAAGGUCAGUCGGAUGUGAAAGCCCCGGGCUUAACCUGGGAAUUGCAUUCGAAACUGCCUCGCUAGAGUAUGGGAGAGGGAAGCGGAAUUUCCGGUGUAGCGGUGAAAUGCGUAGAUAUCGGAAGGAACACCAGUGGCGAAGGCGGCUUCCUGGACCAAUACUGACGCUGAGGUGCGAAAGCGUGGGGAGCGAACAGGAUUAGAUACCCUGGUAGUCCACGCCGUAAACGAUGAGAACUAGAUGUUGGGAGGAUUUGCCUCUCAGUGUCGCAGCUAACGCAUUAAGUUCUCCGCCUGGGGAGUACGCCGGCAACGGUAAAACUCAAAUGAAUUGACGGGG
rnacentral:rRNA from 1 species